rnacentral:lncRNA from 1 species
UGUCAGUAAUACCGGCGGGGUCUUUAUCCCGGUCGCUAGCUCCAAGCUCGACGGCGGCCAGUAGCUAAGAGCAGCCACAAACAAACCCUCCUCGACGCCAAACUCACGCAAGACGUUGCCUUGAAGCUCUCGCAAGCUCAUUCCUUCGUACAAAGGAACCAGACGCGCCAUCUGACGCUUGUCAAGCACAAAAUCCCACUUCCCUCCGUUAUCACAAACCCACUCGCCACACAUGAAACACAACCUGAAACACAACAACCAACUAUUAAGGAGAUGAGUUGGAUCGAUAAAC